CAGCUAUUCAUGGGAUUGUUUUGGGGCUCUCUUCAUCAAUCUCCAGUGCAGAUGUGCCAUUCCUUAGAAACAUCACAAGCUAUUUGCUCAAAGAGAGAAUCAAAUCUGUGUGAAUUCGUUAAGUCAAGCACAGAACUACUUGCUCCCAGCAUCAUCAGCAGCAAACCUCUCACUGCUUACAGCCAGCAGUGUCCUGUUCCUACACAGGCUUUGGGGAGACUCUGCUGUGGACACAGCUGAAUGAAUUCCAAGUUCCCAUCAAUACAACAAUCCAUGGGUGACAGCAUUGUGAAGAAUGCACUCCUUUAUUCACUGGGUGACAGUAACCAGACUUGUUCAGUUGAGAACGUUUAACAAGAAUGCAAUUGGACAGAUCUUCCGUCAUUCUGACCCAGGCUAAAUUUAAAGCAGGAGCACCAGAAAAUAUAGGUCACUGAUUAAUUCACUGAGAUUCUGCAUUCUUGCUCUGAAAUAAUCACUUAAUGACAAGUUAAAGCAAAUACUUCAAUGUGAUAAUUAAUUCUGGUUACACAUUAUUAAGGUCAGAAGAGCUAACAGAUUCACUAAUGAUUUCUAUUUUAGAACAUGGGACAUUUCAAUCAAGCAUAUAUAAAAUAGUAAAUGUAAGGGAAUUUAACAGUAUUUACUGGCUUAGUGCAUGAUCAAACAUUGACUACUGCUCAGCAUGUAGACGCAUUAAAUGCUGCCAUUCUAUCAGAGGGGAGACUCAAUACUUUUGUUGAAACAAGCACUAUCAAAACUUUUAUUAAAUUGAGUUAUAACUUAACAAAAAAUCCUGAACAUAAUUAGUGACUGACAAAAAAUUUGAUCUCUCCUAUGUCGGACUAAUUUACACAUGGAGAGACAAAAAAGUCUUUUAUCCCUAGACAUUAGAAACAAAUCAGGGAUACAUGAAGGUUCCCAAUUCACUUAGGAAAGCCCUUUCCUCACCUCCUCACAGCCUCCUUGUUUGGCAUUGAGGUGGAUGGGACUGUGUUGUUAAGGCUAACUGAGGUACCUGCUACACAGGGAGCCUCCAGAGGAACCUGUAGAGAUCCAAAGCACUGGGGAGCAAACAGAUCUUUAUACAUUAUUAAACAACUUGUUUCCUCCCCAGGGUUUACAGCAAACCUAUCUGCUUCUUUCUGGCUCUUUUUCUUCUUCUAUAAAAUAUGCAGACAUCACAGAGAAGGGUUUUCAUAGAUUCAGGAGAAACAAGAACAUACUUCAUUUCUUGAGAACCCCUUUCCUGCAGGUUUGGACAGUGAGUAGGAGAAGAAAAAACUACAUCUUUGUACUUUAUUCAGUUCUUCCUUUACACUCUUACUGAAGUUAGUAGUAGUUUUUCAAAGGCAAAAGCUUAAGCAACAGCCCUGAAAAACAACUAUUUAUUAUGUUUGUAUUAGUACUACCACACCAAUAGGUUGUCUGUCUAAUUAAUCAUAACAUAGAGUGAAAACUAGCAUUAGUCCCAUCUACAUCUGUCACACUUAACUCUAACUGACAAUAUGAAAUGUUUAUUAGUCUCAUUGAACUGUUUAUCCAUCUCACUGACAACACUUUCAAACCAUGUGUGCUUUUUUAUCACCCUGGUGCCAAUGAGCUGAGCUCUCUCAAUUUGAAGAUAUUUGGGGGUGGUGUAAACACUCCUACCUUAGCAUUCCCUCUCUCCUUCAGCUCCAGAAUGAAGUUCAGAAACUUAAAAUUAAUUUCCAAAGAAUAUCCCUGGUUUUGACAACUUGAAACUCGCCCCAGGAUAGCUGAUACAGGGAGGAGGAAUCAAAAUCUGGAUAGCCUUUCUUUCAUUUUUUUAGUUUUGUUUCUGGAUGGGAUGAUGGCUUUUGCAUCCUUCUGUCUGUUUUUCUAAAAAGCUUUGCAAUGUGCUGUCUGAUUGCAAAUAUGUUCAAGAUAAAAUAUUCUGUGAGUUUUGUGAAAACUGGGUAGUCCUGCAUUUAAAGGACACUUGAGUUAGUACCUCCACAUUGCACAUAGUGCAAGGGUCAGCACCAUUCUGUUCUUUCUGGCACACACCAGUAAGGCAAAAAUCUGGCUGAUGACUCAGAAACAGCUGCAGCUUCUUGAGGAGAUAGAAGUCCAGAAGGUGCAGAGAGCUGGGGCACUCCCAGAGACAUGGAUUUUGGAGAGGGUGAUGCAGAAGCAGAAAUGAGAAGGAAAGCUAGAAAUAUUGGAAGGUCAGGAAAUGUAAGACUGAAGGAAGUCCUAAGGAAGAUGGGGUGCACUAAGUGUGCUGCUUAAAAAAACUCCUGGUGAAAUCAAGACACUUGUGUGAAUAUUAACCUCAUCCUCAUUCACUGUCUGAUCUUCUGGGCUGCAUUCUGGUAUUUGCAGGUUAGAGAGACUAAACACCUUUAGUUCUAUUGGCUAAGACCCAGAAGUCCUUAAAUCGCUUAGGCACUGUAAUUCACAUAACUAAGGACAGUUCAGACAGUUCAACUUACAGGACAUUAAAAAAGAGCAAACCUUUUUUUAUUACUGGCUGGCAGA